rnacentral:lncRNA from 1 species
UCAAUUCCAGUAAAAGAAUAAUCGACGGUGUUGAAUAAUGGUUCUGAUUCGAAGGUUUCGACAUCAAUACGGCUUCGAGCGACCUGAGGCGCCACAUUCACUAUGAAAUAGUCACCUUCAAUCGGCACUGCUAGUGAAGCUGGCAAAGAACUCUGUCAUGAAAAGACGCUGAAUUUUGAAGAUUUUAGGGAGCUGAAUUUGAAGCCAAAUUCGGGAAGCUUGUUGAACUCGGGUUCAGCAGAGAUGCAGUUAUACAAGCUCUAAAGCUUUUUGAUGGUUGAUCCAAAAUUUGAUUUGGAUAUGAAUUAAGAUGAUGCGGAGGAAGACGAGUGUUGCAACUAUAGACGGGUCAAGCAUAUAUAUGUUGACAAGUAUGUGUUCAAGCCCUUUAUCUCGGUCUACUAGGAUGAACAUCUGUUAGAUGUGCAAAUUACCAUAGCAUGGGGUCUACAAGUAGCAUGAAUAAAACACUUGGGAGGAUUAU